GGAGGAGGGCCUCCCUGUUUUCUGAUUUGGGGCUCCUUUAGCCAGUGCUCUCCUGGACCAGCAAGGGUAUCUCAAAAGGAAUAGGAAAGACCAGGUGCCUCUUCCCACUGACCCACCUGCAUCAUCCCCAAGCAGCUCUGGAGCUAGACCGUUCAGAGGGGAGCAUGCCGCCCCACUCCAAAGACAACAUCUGCCUGACAGCCUGCCCGCAGCGCCGGUCCCAGUACUCCUGGACUAUCAGCUACUCUCUCCUAUCCCACAGAGAUAACAAGGUUGGCGAGAAGAAAGAGUUGUGUCAAGUCUCUCUGGUGGCUGUGUAUCCCUUGCUCUCCGUUCUUGAUGCCUACUCCAUGGGCAGUGCCGAGGGCAUCACCCGGAAGCACCUGUGGCGCCUCUUCUCCCUGGACAUGCUCAACAAUUACUUGGCACGUGACCCCACACCCGGGGAGCUCACCUACCGAGUGCCCACCCGGCACAGGUAAGCUGGGCCAGGGAAAGGGGGACAGGGACUACUGGGAAUGUUCGCGGAGCUACCUGCCCACAUCCCAGCACCUAUCUGAGAAGCUGCUUUUCAUCUUUUGGGAGAAGUGACCUCCAAAUUCUCACUCCUCCCUGGAGGGACCUGGAGAAGCAAGGAUUGUCUCAGGUCUGAAGAGCUAACUCAUCUUGAGUUCCACAUUCUCCAUUUCCCACCUGGGGAGAUGGGAGUGCCCAAGCCAGCCACCCCUGGGAGCCCUCCCUGUCCCAUCCCCAGUUCUGAGCUUGUUUCUCUGCUUCACACAGCACGAACCAGACCCCCCCUGUCUUCACCCCUUUGAAACUUGAUUUCAAUUUUGGGGUAGCACCGCUCAAGGCCCCACCCUCUGUGGUACUCCUGGACCUGAAGAACAUUGGGAUGGUACCCUUGGACUGGGCCUUCCUCUUUCCAAGUGACCAGCAGAUUGACUUGGAGCUAUGGGCAGAGCAAGUAGAUUUUGACAGCACUGAGCUCCACCAAAUGCGUGCAGAGGACAACUGCAUCUUCUCCAUCAGCCCCAAGACUGGGAGCCUGAGUCCUGGGGAGGAGCAGAUGGUGGAGUUAAAGUACAGUCACCUGUUUGUUGGCACUGAUCGCCUGCCAGUGCUCUUCAAGGUGUCACAUGGCAGGGAGAUCUUGUUAAAUUUCAUAGGCAUAACAGUGAAGCUGGAGCAGAAGUACGUGCUCUUCACCUCCACUAGCCACCAGUUCAUCCCUGUCCCCAUUGGCAACACGCUGCCCCCACGGCAGAUUUAUGAGCUGUACAAUGGUGGCUCAGUGCCUGUGACAUAUGAGGUCCAGACCAGCGUCCUGUCACAGGUUCAGGAAAAAAGUUUUGAUCACCCCAUCUUCUGCUGCAUCAACCCCAAAGGUGAGAUCCAGCCAGGUACCACUGCUCGUGUCUUGUGGAUCUUCUCACCCAUUGAGGCCAAGACUUAUACAGUGGACGUGCCCAUACACAUCCUGGGAUGGAAUUCAGCCCUUAUCCGCUUCCAGGGAGUAGGCUAUGACCCCUGCGUCAUGGGUGACACAGCGCCAUUCCACAGCAUCUCGUCAUGGGACAACAACUCCAUACACUGUAGGAUGAUGGUUCCUGGACAGGCUGUCUUCCUAUCCCAGUCUCAUAUAUCCCUGGGAAACAUCCCUGUUCAGAGCAAGUGUAGCCGCCUACUCUUCCUCAACAACAUCUCCAAGAAUGAGACAAUUGUCUUUUCCUGGCAGCCAAGGCCUCUAGAUUUUGGGGAGAUAUCUGUGAGACCCAUGAUAGGGGAACUGGCUCCUGAAGAGACAGCUCCAUUUGUGGUGACCCUGAAGACCUCAGUGCAUGCUAGCUUUUACAGUGUGGACCUGAUAUGCAAGGUGUACCGGCAGGAGCUCAUGAAGCAGUACCACAAGGAGCUCCAGGAGUGGACAGAUGAGAAGGUGCGACAGGAGGCAGAAUUUACCAUCACAGACAGGAAAGUAAAGAAGAGAGCAUAUUGUACUGCCUGUGAGCCCAUGAGGAGGUACAAGGUGAGGCAUGAGCCCAGGCCCAUCUUCUUGUGGUAA
ensembl:lincRNA